UACGUAGGGUGCGAGCGUUAAUCGGAAUUACUGGGCGUAAAGCGUGCGCAGGCGGUUUUGUAAGCCAGAUGUGAAAUCCCCGGGCUUAACCUGGGAAUGGCAUUUGGGACUGCAAGGCUUGAGUGCGGCAGAGGAGACUGGAAUUCCUGGUGUAGCAGUGAAAUGCGUAGAUAUCGAGAGGAACACCGGUGGCGAAGGCGGCCUUCUGGACAGUGACUGACGCUGAGACACGAAAGCGUGGGGAGCAAACAGG
rnacentral:rRNA from 1 species